AGUGUAGUUCCUUAGUCACAGCCACGAUCACGUGACCCUCUGUAUAUAAACACUGGCUGGCUACAGCUGUUUACUCGCUGUUGAACUCGUCUGGUAAAAUCUGCUGCAUCCCAUCUCCAAAUGGCGACAGACAUGGAAAGAUUUGUUUUUUUCGAGGAAACAUUUUACGACCAGUAUGACUAUUACAAUCUGCUCGAGUUCUCGUGCCAUGCGUGUGGCAAAGGGAGAACCAAGAGAGAAAUCGAGCUGAACACAAACCGCCAUUGCCCCGCUGGACACGAGAGGAAGAUUGCAGAAAAAUUUCAUAACACCGAGCUGAAACGCAAGAGAACCAAGAGCUCCUCUUCUUGAUGGAUUUCUUCGACGUUUAUAGAUCCGGACACGAAGUUGGAUUCCUGAUGUUGACGAUGGCCAUGGUUCUCUGCCUUCCCUGUUCCUGACCCAGUGAAUGGAGCGCUGUGACUUCGGUAACAUGCCCAGUAAUCAGUCACACGAGACAGCUCUCCAUACUCUGUAGCAAGAACCUGCUUGUCUCUCGCUGGUGCAAAAAUAGUUUGUGUUGAGCAAUAUAGGUCAGUGGUGUGUGCUUGAUAAAUAUAUGUGUAGUCAUGUCUGUGGGUGCAGGAGAUAUGAUACAGUAUUUGGACUCAAUAAAAAUGGGUGAUGAUUCAA